rnacentral:lncRNA from 1 species
ACGAAAAUUGUAUAGAAAAUUUGAAAAAUAAUUUUUUUUUUUGUAACGUUUUUUUUUUUUUUUUUGAUUACCAGGAGUUGUAACGUUUUUAUAAUUGGUAAUAACCUUCAAAGUAGUAUACUAUGUAUCAAAACUGUACAUAGUUACCAAAUAAAACCAAUAACUUCAGUAGAUACAAUACUAUAUAUGAACUUUUAAUUGCUAUCUAAAAUCGUGGAAUCGAG